UACGUAGGGUGCGAGCGUUAAUCGGAAUUACUGGGCGUAAAGCGUGCGCAGGCGGUCUGUUAAGACAGAUGUGAAAUCCCCGGGCUCAACCUGGGAACUGCAUUUGUGACUGCAUGGCUGGAGUGCGGCAGAGGGGGAUGGAAUUCCGCGUGUAGCAGUGAAAUGCGUAGAUAUGCGGAGGAACACCGAUGGCGAAGGCAAUCCCCUGGGCCUGCACUGACGCUCAUGCACGAAAGCGUGGGGAGCAAACAGG
rnacentral:rRNA from 1 species